GAUGAACGCUGGCGGCGUGCCUAAUACAUGCAAGUCGAGCGAACGGACGAUAAUCUUGCUUCUCUGAUGUUAGCGGCGGACGUGUGAGUAACACGUGUAUAAUCUACUUAUAAUACUGGUAUAACUUGGGGAAACCGUAUCUAAUACCGUAUAAUAUUUUGAAGCGCAUGGUGCAAAGGAGAAAUACGGUCUUGCGGUCACUUAUCGAUGCAUCCCCGCUGCAUUAGCUAGUUGGUAAGGUCACAGCCUAUCAAGGCAACGAUGCAUAGCCGACCUACGAGGGGGAUAGCCGACAGUGGAAGUGAGACACGGACAAGACUCCUACGGGAGGCAGCAGUAGGGAAUCUUACGCAGCGGGCGAAAGCCUGACAGAGCAACGGCGCGUGAGAGAUGAAGGUCUUCGGAUCGUAAAGCUCUCUUAUUAGUGAAAAACAUAUGUGUAAGUUAAUGAACACAUAUUGACGGUAACUAAUAAGGAAGCAACGGCUAACUACGUG
rnacentral:rRNA from 1 species